rnacentral:rRNA from 1 species
GACGAACGCUGGCGGCGUGCUUAACACAUGCAAGUUGAACGGGCAGAUAUGGAAGCUUGCUGAAGUAUCUGUUAGUAGCGGACGGGUGAGUAAUGCAUGAGAAGCUGCCAUUGGGAGGGGGACAACAGUUGGAAACGGCUGCUAAUACCCCGUAUGCCGGAAGGUGAAAGGGAGCGAUCCGCCCGAUGAGGUGCUCAUGUCCUAUCAGCUGGUUGGUGGGGUAACGGCCUACCAAGGCGACGACGGGUAGCCGGCCUGAGAGGGUGAACGGCCACACUGGAACUGAGAUACGGUCCAGACUCCUACGGGAGGCAGCAGUGGGGAAUAUUGGGCAAUGGGGGAAACCCUGACCCAGCGACGCCGCGUGAGGGAAGAAGGCCUUCGGGUUGUAAACCUCUUUUGUACGGGAAGAAGGAAGUGACGGUACUGUACGAAUAAGUCCCGGCUAACUACGUGCCAGCAGCCGCGGUAAUACGUAGGGGACGAGCGUUGUCCGGAAUUACUGGGCGUAAAGGGCGCGCAGGCUGUGCUGCAAGUCAGCUGUUAAAGACUGGGGCUUAACCCUGGUAUGCGGUUGAGACUGCAGUACUGGAGUGCUGUAGAGGCAAGUGGAAUUCCCAGUGUAGCGGUGAAAUGCGUAGAUAUUGGGAGGAACACCAGUGGCGAAGGCGACUUUCUGGCCUGUAACUGACGCUGAGGCGCGAAAGCUAGGGGAGCAAACA